GCCCCACACUUGAUUCACGUUCCCAGAACCGCGCCCUCGGCCCUCCGCGGGUGGGGUCCUGCACCCGAGUCGCCGGAGGUCGAGCAGGCAGCCGGGUUUGCCGCAAGAGGGAGGGGUGUGCAGAAACCGGGCGGGGGGGGCGCGCUCCGACAGGAGCCCGGGACCCCCCACCGCCCUAACGGCCCGGUCCCCCGGGCGCCCCGGGACCCCGCAGGACAGGCUCUCAACCAGGUGGCGCGGAGGGGUCCACAUGCCUGCAGAUUGUCAAGCUUCCCUUUGGCCUGUUGCCUCUCUGGGGGCCCUGUGCUCGCGUCCCACCCGAGCAGGGCUGGAACUGGCCCUGCUAGUCUGGGGGCGGGGGAGGGGCUGCGCACGUGUCCUGCUGGACACCAGGCAGGCACACCUGCAUGCCCUCGACAUAGAUUAACCCUGUUAGAAUGUGGGUACUAGUACUAUCCUCACUUGCCAGUGGAGAAACCGAGGCAGAGCUAGGAUUAACCUCAGGCGGUUCCCCUCCGGAGCCUCACCGUUUGCUCUGCCCUGGUGCGUGCGGUUCUGGGUGUCUGGGAGGGUAUGGAGGCCCUCCGGCUUCCACGCCAGCAGGCUGGGAGUGGCUUCUGAGUCUCACUUUAUGGCUGUGUGCGAAGCUUGGGCCUUGCUCCACCGCCCAGUAGGAGUUACUGCCUUACAGAGAGGCAGGGCGGGGGUUCUCUGUGCUCCCCUUCUCCUUCAGCCCCCUCUUCUCCUUUGUCACCCAGCAGGGUGGCUCGGCCCUGGCCCAGAAGUGGUUAACCACAGGCUAGGGUGACUUGGCAGAGUGGUGGUCAUGAGAACCCCCCCAUAUUUGCUGGAGAGAGAAGCACCAACCAGCACACCUGGAGAGCCCCGGAGUUCUCACCCCAAGGGCUCUGGCCAGAGCUGGGGUUAUCAUUACCCUUAAGCAGGGCUGCCCCAGGUGACUGUGAGAGGGACAGCGGAGCCGUAGGGCCUGCACGCAGUGGAGCAGAGGCUGAAUGUGUCCCAGGUCCUGACCUCCUCAAGUUUGAGUCACUUGUCUGUUUAGGGAACCACCACCACACACAGCUGGUGCUGACUCCUUUAGUCUCGCCAGGCCGGGUGCAGCCGCCCUGCUCUUGUCGCGCUCCCUGGGGUCCGGGAGCAGGUGGGGCAGCAGCCUUCCCCGCCUCUCCCAGCAGCUUCUUAUAAGCAGCAAGAAGGACCAGCAGGUGGCGCCAAGCUCUCACAGUCAACGCCAGGAGGGCGAGGCUGUGUCUGGAGCCACCGGGGGCAAGUUCUUACCCUCCUGAGCCGUGGCCCCAAUGGUGCCCACUCCCUCCCCUGCCCCUCUGCUCUGCUCCUGGGCUUUGCCAAGCUGCACUGGGUGAGGCAGCGAAACCUCCCGCGGCUACAGCUGGAGGCGUGGUCAGUCCCCAGCUCACCUUCCCUGUGUGACACCCCGUUUCUGGGCUCCUGCUGCCCUCCUCCUGCCUCCCUGCUGGCUCCUCGUUCACAGCCUCUUCUGGCUGGACCCUGCUCUCUGUAACCUCCCUUGGUCCACCCCCCAAAUCCUCCUCAUCCUUCGACCUUCUGGAAGGCUCUUCUCUCAGCUCCAGCCACCUACCCAGCUGCUUGGCUCGAGUGCCUCAUGCCUGUCCCUCACUCAGCGUGUUCCAA
rnacentral:lncRNA from 1 species